GAUGAAGAACGCAGUGAAACGCGAUAAGUAAUGUGAAUUGCAGAAUUCAGUGAAUCAUCGAAUCUUUGAACGCACAUUGCGCCCGCCAGUAUUCUGGCGGGCAUGCCUGUUCGAGCGUCAUUACAACCCUCAGGCCCCCGGGCCUGGCGUUGGGGAUCGGCGGAAGCCCCCUGCGGGCACAACGCCGUCCCCCAAAUACAGUGGCGGUCCCGCCGCAGCUUCCAUUGCGUAGUAGCUAACACCUCGCAACUGGAGAGCGGCGCGGCCACGCCGUAAAACACCCAACUUCUGAAUGUUGACCUCGAAUCAGGUAGGAAUACCCGCUGAACUUAAGCAUAUCAAUAAGCGGAGGA
rnacentral:misc_RNA from 1 species